GUGCUGGCUUUGGCAGCACAGAUACUAAAAUUAGAACGAUACAGAGAAGAUUAGCAUGGCCCCUGUGCAAGGAUGACAUGCAAAUUCGUGAAGCGUUCUAUAUGGGG
ensembl:snRNA U6 U6 spliceosomal RNA